rnacentral:rRNA from 1 species
AUACGGAGGGUGCAAGCGUUACUCGGAAUCACUGGGCGUAAAGCGCGCGCAGGCGGUCUUUUAAGUUGGAUGUGAAAGCCUACGGCUCAACCGUAGAACUGCAUCCAAAACUAUUAGACUAGAGUGUGAGAGAGGAAGAUGGAAUUAGUUGUGUAGGGGUAAAAUCCGUAGAGAUAACUAGGAAUACCAAAAGCGAAGGCAAUCUUCUGGAACACUACUGACGCUGAGGCGCGAAAGCGUGGGGAGCAAACAGAAUUAGAAACCCUAGUAGUCC